CCUACGGGAGGCAGCAGUGGGGAAUAUUGGACAAUGGGUGCAAGCCUGAUCCAGCCAUACCGCGUGGGUGAAGAAGGCCUUCGGGUUGUAAAGCCCUUUUGUUGGGAAAGAAAUCCUAUCGAUUAAUACUCGGUGGGGAUGACGGUACCCAAAGAAUAAGCACCGGCUAACUUCGUGCCAGCAGCCGCGGUA
rnacentral:rRNA from 1 species